GACGAACGCUGGCGGCGUGCUUAACACAUGCAAGUCGAACGGAAAGGCCCGGCUUUUGUUGGGUGCUCGAGUGGCGAACGGGUGAGUAACACGUGAGUAACCUGCCCUUGACUUUGGGAUAACUUCAGGAAACUGGGGCGAAUACCGGAGAGGAGCUCCUGAUGCAUGGGGGGGGUUGGAAAGUUUCGGCGGUUGGGGAUGGACUCGCGGCUUAUCAGCUUGUUGGUGGGGUAGUGGAUUACGAAGGCUUUGACGGGUAGCCGGCAUGAGAGCGUGACCGGCCACCUUGGGACUGCGAUACGGCCCAGACUGCUACGGGAGGCAGCAGUGGGGAAUAUUGCACAAUGGGCGGAAGCCUGAUGCAGAAACGCCGCGUGCGGGAUAACCGCCUUCGGGUUGUAAACCGCUUUCGACUGUGAUGAAGAGUGCGUGACGGUAAUGGGUCAAGAAGCAACGGCUAACUACGUG
rnacentral:rRNA from 1 species